UACAGAGGGUGCAAGCGUUAAUCGGAAUUACUGGGCGUAAAGCGUGCGCAGGCGGUUUUUUAAGUCUGGCGUGAAAUCCCCGGGCUCAACCUGGGAAUUGCGAUGGAGACUGCAAGGCUAGAAUCUGGCAGAGGGGGGUAGAAUUCCACGUGUAGCAGUGAAAUGCGUAGAGAUAUGGAGGAACACCGAUGGCGAAGGCAGCCCCCUGGGUCAAGAUUGACGCUCAUGCACGAAAGCGUGGGGAGCAAACAGG
rnacentral:rRNA from 1 species